AUGUCAAUUCUCUUGGGAGUCAGCAUUGUUCUCAAUAGUGUUCAACCUGUUCUAUCAGGUGUAGCUGUUGAUUCGGGAUGGCAACGUCUUUAUAUUAGUCGGCUAGUUGAGAAAUAUGGAGCUGAUUUUCAGAGAAUGAUGAUGGAUAUAAAGCUAAAUCCUAUGCAGCAUUCUGUUGCAACUUUAGAGAAAUUGUGAUCAGAGGCAAUGUUUGCAGGGUUAGGCCAUUUUUCUAAGAAAUCAAUCAAGCAUAGAAGUGAAAAAGGGGAAUCAUCAAUUAAAGCAUUGGGUCAGAAGAUGUUGAUGGAGAUGAAAAGUCCACUCAGGAUUGAUAAAAGGAAGAUGGAUGCUUUGUUGGUAAAGGUAAAGCUGUUAAAAUCUGGUUAUGUGAAUUGA